GAAGACCAAGGGUUCCUGUCCAACGUUAAUCGGGGCAGGGUGAGUCGACCCCUAAGGCGAGGCCGAAAGGCGUAGUCGAUGGGAAACAGGUUAAUAUUCCUGUACUUGGUGUUACUGCGAAGGGGGGACGGAGAAGGCUAUGUUGGCCGGGCGACGGUUGUCCCGGUUUAAGCGUGUAGGCUGGUUUUCCAGGCAAAUCCGGAAAAUCAAGGCUGAGGCGUGAUGACGAGGCACUACGGUGCUGAAGCAACAAAUGCCCUGCUUCCAGGAAAAGCCUCUAAGCAUCAGGUAACAUCAAAUCGUACCCCAAACCGACACAGGUGGUCAGGUAGAGAAUACCAAGGCGCUUGAGAGAACUCGGGUGAAGGAACUAGGCAAAAUGGUGCCGUAACUUCGGGAGAAGG
rnacentral:rRNA from 1 species